UCAAAAUUACUUGGUAAAUGGAGGAAUCGAAGAUAUUUUGAUGGUGAGAGUUGUUAAUUUUUCUAUUUGUUGGACAAAAUCCGGGCAGAAGAUUCGAUGGUUACCUCAAUGACAUGAUAAUUGGUAUGUAUCUACAAUGUAUGAAAUUCGUUCAAAUUUGAAAGAUCAAAUAGCUAUGAACAAGAAGCUGAAGUUGAAGAAGACACGAUUGAGACUCAUUACGGAUGAAAUGCUAAGAUUGCCUAUUUGCCUUGGAAGUUGGAAGUGGAAGGUCCUAUUGAAGCCCAGAACUUGUGGAUGAUUGUCAUUUAUCUCUUCUUAUAGCGGAUGAUCUCAACGACUAGUUGUAAAAUUAGGCCUGUUGGCUUCAAUGCA